GAGAACAAAGGAGAGUUGGAGAGCCCAUGAUGGGGGACUUGAAGUUCUGUCUUUCAUUACUCCUAACCUUAGCUACCUUGGCUUAUGCCCAAGAGGAGCAGAAAACCUGCUUGAUAAACCAAAGAUACAAAGCCCACCACAAGUAUGAAUACUUGUACAAAGCUGAGUCUUUAAAUGCUAUCAGUGGUGCUUCACAUCUAAGGAAUGGACAAAAGACCACU